rnacentral:rRNA from 1 species
GACGAACGCUGGCGGCGUGCUUAACACAUGCAAGUCGAACGGAGCUAUUUAUUUCGGUAGAUAGCUUAGUGGCAAACGGGUGAGUAACGCGUAGGCAACCUGCCCUCAGGAUGGGGACAACGGCUCGAAAGAGCCGCUAAUACCGAAUGACGUAACUCUUCCACAUGGAAGAGAUACUAAAGAUGGGUCAAACCAUCGCCUAAGGAUGGGCCUGCGUCUGAUUAGCCAGUUGGUGAGGUAACGGCUCACCAAAGCGACGAUCAGUAGCCGGUCUGAGAGGAUGAACGGCCACAAUGGGACUGAGACACGGCCCAUACUCCUACGGGAGGCAGCAGUGGGGAAUCUUCCGCAAUGGGCGAAAGCCUGACGGAGCAACGCCGCGUGAGUGAAGAAGGUCUUCGGAUCGUAAAGCUCUGUUGUCGGGGACGAAAGGAAAGGGGAGGCAAUGCCCUUUCA